rnacentral:rRNA from 1 species
CACCUGCACAAGUGCUGCAUGGCUGUCGUCAGCUCGUGUCGUGAGAUGUUGGGUUAAGUCCCGCAACGAGCGCAACCCUUAUCCCUAGUUGCCAUCAGGUAAAGCUGGGAACUCUGGGGAGACUGCCGGUGAUAAACCGGAGGAAGGCGGGGAUGACGUCAAGUCCUCAUGGCCCUUACAUCCCGGGCUACACACGUGCUACAAUGGCAGGUACAGAGGGCUGCGAAGCCGCGAGGUGGAGCGAAUCCCAGAAAACCUGUCUCAGUCCGGAUUGAAGUCUGCAACUCGACUUCAUGAAGGCGGAAUCGCUAGUAACCGCGAAUCAGCACGCUGCGGUCGAAUACGUUCCCGGGCCUU